CAGCAGCCGCGGGAAUACAGAGGGUGCGAGCGUUAAUCGGAUUUACUGGGCGUAAAGCGUGCGUAGGCGGCUAAUUGAGUCGGAUGUGAAAUCCCCGAGCUUAACUUGGGAAUUGCAUUCGAUACUGGUUAGCUAGAGUGUGGGAGAGGAUGGUAGAAUUCCAGGUGUAGCGGUGAAAUGCGUAGAGAUCUGGAGGAAUACCGAUGGCGAAGGCAGCCAUCUGGCCUAACACUGACGCUGAGGUACGAAAGCAUGGGGAGCAAACAGGAUUAGAGACCCCUGUAGUCCCUGUCUCUUAUAC
rnacentral:rRNA from 1 species